UACGUAGGGUGCGAGCGUUAAUCGGAAUUACUGGGCGUAAAGUGUGCGCAGGCGGCCGCGCAAGUCGAGUGUGAAAGCCCCGGGCUUAACUUGGGAAUUGCGCUCGAAACUACGUGGCUGGAGUGUGGCAGGGGAAGGUGGAAUUCCACGUGUAGCGGUGAAAUGCGUAGAGAUGUGGAGGAACACCAAUGGCGAAGGCAGCCUUCUGGGCCAACACUGACGCUCAUGCACGAAAGCGUGGGGAGCAAACAGG
rnacentral:rRNA from 1 species